rnacentral:lncRNA from 1 species
UUUAUCACGAUAAAUAAAUUGUAUAAUCUGGAUACAAUAUUUUCAUAUUAGUUACAUCUACUUUAGGUAAUAAAAAGAGAGAGAGAGAGAACGUUUUUCUCUCUGGUGUCUCUCCCCACUCUGCCGUCAAACCCUAGUUCCUCUAUCUCUGCCGUUCGUUUGCAAGGAGGCCGACGACACAGUUUUCACCGUUGGUCUCCUGCCCCACCGGUUUCUUCUUGUUCUAGCCACACCCACCGAUCCUAUCUUACGGCGUCGCUUCCUUCUUGUUCCUGUGUCUCUAGAUCUCUGUUUUUUCAGACUUAAACGAAAGUAGAAGUGUGUGCUUCUCUUUCCUGGAGCGCGGCGAGGUCGCGAGCGUUUGAAACCACCGGUGGCCUUGAUCUUCUGACUCUUUAGUGCGUAGGCGUUGGAUCUGGGUCAGAUCUGAAUCGCUAGUCAUCGAGUUUUAGGUUGAGAAAGUAGCUACCUCUCCUCCUUUCUCCGACCAGCCUCCCGACGAGUUCUAGGGCUAUGAAGCUUCAAAAGGUGUAGAGCCUCUCCUCAGGGGAUUCGUCCUCAGAGAGCGGCGGAGUUGUGGUCUCCGUUGAGGGUCUCUGAAUCUAGUUUCAGGUAUCAUUACCAUGGCUCUCUCCUGUCAACUUGGUUCAGGUCUCUCUCUGUUGAGUUUAGGGUGGUUGGAUGUUUAGGGUUCUCUGAGGACAGUCCCGAUGCCUCUACCUCUUGAUAUCCCACGACUGAGACUUGCCAUUGGUGGGACUAGCCUGUUUUGAGGGUCUUCGGACUUCUCCUGUUCUUCAUCUCCUUUUUCAAGCUCCGGUUUGUCUUUCCGAUAGCUGUGAUGUGUUAGUUUAUUCUCCUGGGUCGCGUAGUCGGAUUGGGGUGCAUUAUACCGAUUACGCUUGACCAUCAUUUCAUGUGCUCUAUUUCAAGUGAAGACAUCUUGGCAAGUUAGACAGCUACUUUCCGAGUGGCAUUAGGUUUGGUUUCAACGAAGUCUCUCCUCAGCUAGCACCGGAGUGUAAGCCAGGAUCUCCGUCGUCGCAACUUGAGAGAUCUUCGGGUUAGUCUUCGGCAAACCGUCCCCGUUUAGCCAAACUCCUCUCUCUGCAGGUUUCGAUCAGCAAAGAGUUUAGGAAGCACUUGAGUUAGGAAAUUAGUUGAUAUUUGUUGUUAAACUUUAAUUCUAAGUGUAUUGUUGCAAUAUCUUUAGAUUUUUAUGGAUGCUAUAGGUUUUUUUUUUUUUUUGCGGUCUCUAGGAUCAAAUCAGCUCUUUGAGCAAUCUUAGAUUUUAAUUUCUAUUGUAAUCAAACUUUCAU